rnacentral:rRNA from 1 species
CGUAGCCGACCUGAGAGGGUGAUCGGCCACAAUGGGACUGAGACACGGCCCAUACUCCUACGGGAGGCAGCAGUAGGGAGUUUUCGGCAAUGGGGGGAACCCUGACCGAGCAACGCCGCGUGAACGAAGAAGGUCUUCGGAUUGUAAAGUUCUGUUGUAGGGGAAUAAAGGUCGGAAGAAGAGAAUGUUUCCGAUUUGAAGGUACCCUGCCAGAAAGCCACGGCUAACUACGUGCCAGCAGCCGCGGUAAUACGUAGGUGGCAAGCGUUAUCCGGAAUUAUUGGGCGUAAAGAGUGAGCAGGCGGCCUUUUAAGUCUGAAGUCAAAUGCAGUGGCUCAACCACUGUCCGCUUUGGAAACUGAGAGGCUAGAGUACGAGAGAGGUAUAUGGAAUUCCAUGUGGAGCGGUGAAAUGCGUAGAUAUAUGGAGGAACACCAGUGGCGAAGGCGAUAUACUGGAUCGAUACUGACGCUCAGUCACGAAAGCGUGGGUAGCAAAUAGGAUUAGAUACCCUAGUAGUCCACGCCGUAAACGCUGAGAACUAAGUGUUGGGGUGAAACCCAGCGCUGAAGCUAACGCAUUAAGUUCUCCGCCUGAGGAGUACGGUCGCAAGACUGAAACUUAAAGGAAUUGACGGGGGCCCGCACAAGCAGUGGAGCAUGUGGUUUAAUUCGAUGCUACGCGAAGAACCUUACCAGGGCUUGACAUAGUUCUAAGACUCUAGAAAUAGAGGGAUAUACAGAACAUACAGGUGGUGCAUGGUUGUCGUCAGCUCGUGUCGUGAGAUGUUAGGUUAAGUCCUCCAACGAGCGCAACCCUUGUCCUUAGUUACCAUCAUUAAGUUGGGGACUUUAAGGAGACUGCCGGUGUAAGCCGGAGGAAGGUGGGGAUGACGUCAAAUCAUCAUGCCCUUUAUGUCCUGGGCGACACACGUGCUACAAUGGUCGGUACAAAGAGCUGCAAUGCCGCGAGGCUGAGCGAAUCUCAUAAAGCCGAUCUCAGUUCGGAUUGGAGUCUGCAACUCGACUCCAUGAAGUCGGAAUUGCUAGUAAUCGUAGAUCAGCCAUGCUACGGUGAAUACGUUCCCGGGCCUUGUACACACCGCCCGUCAAACCAUGAGAGCUGGUAAUGCUCGAAGUCGGUAUCCUAACCCGUAAGGGAGGGAGCCGCCCAAGGUAGGACUAGUGAUUGGGGUUAAGUCGUAACAAGGUAUCCCUACGGGAACGUGGGGAUGGAUCACCUCCUUUCUAUGGAGA